rnacentral:tRNA from 1 species
UUUUAUAUAAUUUAAUAAAAAUAUUUUAUUUUCAUUAAAAAAACGACUAGCCCACAGUCUAUAAAAU